AGUAUCAGGGGAUGAAACCUUGAAACAAUCUUAGGACACCUUCUGACACAGUGCCUAUUUUCCUGUGAAUGAGAAGGAAUUUAUAUUCUGAUGAUACU